rnacentral:rRNA from 1 species
GACGAAGGGGGCUAGCGUUGUUCGGAAUUACUGGGCGUAAAGCGCGCGUAGGCGGCUUUUCAAGUCAGAAGUGAAAGCCCCGGGCUCAACCCGGGAAUAGCUUUUGAUACUGCAAAUCUCGAGUCCGGAAGAGGUGAGUGGAAUUCCUAGUGUAGAGGUGAAAUUCGUAGAUAUUAGGAAGAACACCAGUGGCGAAGGCGGCUCACUGGUCCGGUACUGACGCUGAGGUGCGAAAGCGUGGGGAGCAAACAGG